GGCAGGUGGACGACUCAGUGGUCGGCCUCUGUUGGCAGGAAGACCAGCUGGCCUUUCAGCAGAAUGUUUGCUGCAGGGCGUCCGUGUUGGAAAAACUGCUGCAAAACCCUCAGAACAAAUGGCUCAUACCCGUGUGCACAGACAUAGAAAUGAAGGUGCCACCACAGGUGUGCAAGUACUCUGAGUGGAUACAUCCCAUCAUCGUGGACAUGACUGAGCUCGCUCUCUGCACAGAGAUCGACACCCUCAACUUCACCGCCAAAGUCUGCACCAACGAAACCAUCGUCCGGAACCUGUUGGCCAAUCAGGAAAACACCUGGUUGAUACAGCACUGUGCCAACCAUUCGAAACCCGGGGUAUCUCCUGGUGGGGACGGGGGACAAGGAGAGGGCCAGACUACAUUCAACCCCGCCGACCAGUGCCAGUACUCCAGCUGGAGUGUUUCUCUUCCGGGCGUAGCACUCCUGACUCUCUGCUGGGAGAGCGACCAGAGCAACUUUGUCUCCUCCGUCUGCCAAAACACGGUCCUUCUCCCUCUGCUGUCCCGGGAGCCGUCCAGCAUGUGGGUGAGCAGCAUGUGUACCACCUACACCAACUACACCACCGCCACCAAGAACAACAGUACCGGUGCCACCGCAGAGCCGGAUGCUUGCCUGGCCAGAAAGCUGGUGAGGCAGUACAACUGGAAUUGCUCAGCGGACUUCACCUUCGCCUGUCGGCCCGGGGCCAGUCAGAACAUGGCCCUGCAGAUGAUGGUGCGCUGCUGGGUGGAGAGUCUGAAGUCCAGGGUGGAGGCUCUGCUGACUCCGCCCGUGGCCGCAGUGUUGGAGCAGGCAGUCAGCACCACUGUGGUCGUCCUGUUGGCCGCGGAGGACGUCCAGAACACCUCGCUACAUGUCACGGAAAACAUAAGGCUCAGCGUGUUGGCGUCUGUAGUUCGCUAUCUCGACAGGGAAAAGAACUUUGAGAGGAAGAGGGUUUUGCUGCAGUGCUUCGGGGUGGGUAGUUUGACUGUGCAGUGACUGUGCGAAAAGAAAAGUAUCUCGCUAUCUGUGAUGAAG
rnacentral:lncRNA from 1 species